rnacentral:rRNA from 1 species
CGCUAUCACUCCUACGGGGAGGCAGCAGUGGGGAAUAUUGCACAAUGGGCGCAAGCCUGAUGCAGCCAUGCCGCGUGUGUGAAGAAGGCCUUCGGGUUGUAAAGCACUUUCAGUAAGGAGGAAAGGUUAAGUGUUAAUAGCACUUAGCUGUGACGUUACUUACAGAAGAAGCACCGGCUAACUCCGUGCCAGCAGCCGCGGUAAUACGGAGGGUGCGAGCGUUAAUCGGAAUUACUGGGCGUAAAGCGUACGCAGGCGGUUUGUUAAGCGAGAUGUGAAAGACCCCGGGCGUUAACCUGGGAACUGCAUUUCGAACUGGCAAACUAGAGUGUGAUAGAGGGUGGUAGAAUUUCAGGUGUAGCGGUGAAAUGCGUAGAGAUCUGAAAGAAUACCGAUGGCGAAGGCAGCCACCUGGGUCAACACUGACGCUCAUGUACGAAAGCGUGGGGAGCAAACAGGAUUAGAUACCCUGGUAG